UUGAUGGAAUACGGGAUAGGGAGUGUCAAGAGCCUAAGCUUGGGGAUGCCCAAGGACCCAAUCCAUAUUCAAGGAUACCAAAGAGCCUAAGCUUGGGGAUGCCCCGGAAGGCAUCCCCUCUUUCGUCUUCAAUCCAUCGGUAAAUUUACUUGAGGCUAUAUUUUCAUUCACCACAUGAAAUGUGUUUUGCUUGGAGCGUAUUGUAUGGUAUGAUUCUUUACUUUUUAGUUUGACACAAUCAUCCUUGUUGCACACAUCUUUUGAGAGAGACACGCUGAAUCGUGAAUUUAUUAGAAUACUCUUUGUGCUUCACUUAUAAAGGUAUUCUAAACCAUAUAAAGUGCAUCAAAAACAUAUAAAGGUAUUCUAAUCAUAUAAAGUGCAUCAAAAACAUAUAAAGGUAUUAUAAAGGAAGAUAUGAGAAGGUGCCCUCCAACUAUUUCCCUUAGGCUCUCAAGUCGAGUGUGAGAUCGUGGCUGAUGCAACUGCAAGAGAAUUCCAUUGCGUCAUGGGAUGACGUGUGCAAUGAGUUCAUUGGCGCCCUCACGGGUGGACACCAGGAGCCAGGACAGCCCAGCGACUUGCAGGUCCUCCCGCGGAAGGAGGGUGAAACCUUGCGAAAAUGCAUCUAUAGAUUAAGCAGAGUACAUCGCAACAUUUCGAAGAUACACCCCGCAGACGUGAUUGCCGCGUUCCACUCGAACGUGCGCAACAGGAGAAUGUCGGCCAAGAUGAAAUUCAAACUCCUGAAGACCGUCAACGAUCUGUACAUGUUGGCGGACAAGUGUGCUCGCGCCGAAGAAGGAAGGUGAAUCCUCGGAGAGGAAGUGGGCAUUGAAGUCGACUCCGAUGAGGACGAUGAUGCCCCUGGAUCUAAGGAGAGGAAUCGAAAGUGCAAUAAGAAGCGCAAGGGAAAGGCAGUGUUGGCCGUCGAAGGCUCUGACAGUGUCAACACCGACAAGAAGGCGAAAGCCGAGACCCCCGGCAAGGGAGCUGCUUCGUGCGCUGAUUGCCUGGAGGCUGCCGCGACAGAGAAGGCCGGAAAGUUUGAUGGGACAUACUGCAAGAUCCACCGCACCAAGGCCACGAUCUCCACGAAUGCCGCCAAGUCGAGCAGCUUACUGAGAAGCGGAAGGCUGAAUAUGAGAAGUGCGACAAGGAGAAGGGCCAAGAUAAUGCUGCUAGGAAGGCCGCUGCAGAAAGGCUCCGCAAUAGAAGGAAAAACCUUCCAGAGUCCGUGAGAGGAAAGUAGACGACGACACAAGUGACAGCGAAGACGAUGGGGAGGAUUCCAGCGACAAGGAGUUCCAGAAGGCAACCGAUGCCAUGUGUUUUGACGGGGGUGCGUCCUUGCACUCCUCUUGCCGCUAGCUCAAACAAUGGGUGCACGAGGUUAACGCCAUGGAGCUAGCGGUAGAGCCUCGAAGACCACUCGAGUGGUCCUGCACGCCUAUCAUAUUCGACAGAGAGGAUCAACCUGACCGUGUUAUCAUGGUCGGGUGUUAGCCGAUGUUGGUCUCCCUGACAGUCCGCAACCUCAAGGUCAGCAAGCUGUUAGUUGACAGCGGGGCAGGGAUGAAUCUGAUUCUCCCAAGGUGGUGAAGAGACUACAGAUCCCCGACAGUGAGCUAAAGCCGACAGGUUCACUCCAAGGGAUCAACCCCGACAGAGGCUAGCUAAAGGGAAAGAUAACUUUGCUUGUUAUAUUCGCUGGAGAGCUCAACUACCGGACCGAAAAGGUCAUAUUCAAUGUGGUCGAGCUCUCCCUGCCAUACAAUGGAAUCCUUGGGCGCCUGGCCUUGGCAAAAUUCAUGGCAACAUCCCAUUAUGCAUGCAAUGUCUUGAAGAUGCCAGGCCCCAUGGGAGUAAUCUCCAUCCCGUCCGACAAGAAGGAUGCCGUCAUUUGCAUAGAUCAGAUGUUUCGAGAUGCGGUGGCAGCUGAAACCGCAGGAGAAUUCGCUCCCGCCACAAGCCAGAAGAAGAAGUAGAAGUCCAGCGGAAGCACCGACAAGGACUCCGGGAAGAGCGCCUACGCGGAGUGCGCUGCACCCGUCGAUGACCUUUUGGAGAGCUGUGCCGGCUGGAAGUCCAAAGUCUCCUACCCUGCGAUGAAGAAGGUCCCGACAAGGGAGGAUGGCUCGAUGGAACAUUCACCAUCAACGCCAACCUUAGUGACAAAUAGGAAAGCACGCUCAUUGCCUUUCUUCGGGCGAAUAUCGAUGUGUUUGCGUGCCAACCUUCCAACGUCUCUGGUGUUCGCAGAGAGGUAACUGAGCACCACCUUCCUGUGUGCCCUCAUGCCAGACCCGUCAAGCAGAAGUUUAGAAAGCAUGCCUUGGAGAGGCAACAAUUUAUCACCGAGGAAAUCAAGAAGGUGGAAGCGGAUGGUUUGGUUCGAGGAGUACUACAUCCAACGUGGUUAGCUAACCCGGUAGUGGUACGCAAGGCGAAUGGGAAAUUGAGGCUUUGUGUUGACUUUACAAACUUACACAAAUCAUGCCCGAAGGACCCAUUUCCCUUGUCGUGCAUUGAUCAGAUAGUUGACGCCACUUCUGGGUGCGACCGGCGUUCCUUCCUGGACGCGUACUCCGGAUGUCACCAGAUUUUCAUGGCCAAAGAGGAUGAGGAAAAUACCUCGUUCAUAACCCCAUGCGGCACGUACUGUUUUGUACGAAUGCCCUUCCAGUUAAAGAGUGUUGGCUCUACCUUUGCCAAGGCUGUGCAAAUCAGAUUUAGACCCCAGCUCCACAGGAACGUGGAAGCAUACAUGGAUGACAUAGUGGUUAAGACGAGGGACGAAGCCACCCUUAUGCAAGACCUAGAAGAGACCUUUGUGAACCUGCGCAAGAUGAACCUUAAGCUCAACCCUGAGAACUAUGUGUUUGGUGUCCCGUUCAUCAAGCUGCUUGGGUUCUUUGUGUCUCAGCAAGGGAUUCAAGCCAACCCCGACAAGAUCAAGGCCAUCGAGCAGAUACAAGCCUCCAAGAUAGUCAAGGACGUGAGUCACCUGACCGGAUGUGUUGCCGCGUUGAGUACAUUCAUCUCCAAAUCCGCUGAACGGGCCUUGCCGUUCUUCAAGAUCUUGUAGAAGGCCGACCCGAUGAAGUGGACCCCGGAAGCAGAGGCGGCGCUGCAAGAUCUGAAAACAUACCUCUCUUCCGCUCCCACCUUGGUCGCUCCCAAACUGCAAGAGCCGUAGCUGCUAUACCCGGCGGCAACGAAUCAAGUGGUUAGCGCGGCUUUGGUGGCACAACGGGGAUGGAUGAGGAUGCAGCCCCCGCGGAAGACGCUAUCAGGGAUGAAGCCAAAAUAUACACGACAACGCCCAACACUAUCUUAGAAGAAACCCCGCAGGCUAGCAAUGAGGGCUCCAAGGAGUUGGCGAAGAAGAAGGUGGUGCAGCGGCCAAUGUACUUUGUGAGCUCCCUAUUACACGGGGCUAGAUCAAGGUACUCUGGAGCGCAAAGGCUGAUCUUCGAACUCAUCAACGCCUCGAGGAAGUUGCACCACUACUUAGAAGCCCAUGAGAUCACGGUUGUCACCCGCUUCCCACUUCAACGCAUGUCGAGGAACCCCGAAGCCACGGGCACGAUAGUCGAGUGGGCGCUAGAGCUGUCAAGUUUUGGGCUGAAGUACGAAAGCACUUCCACCAUCCAGAGCAGAGCACUAGCAGAGUUCGUUGUCGAAUGGACGCCCACACCAGAUGAAGAAGUUCAAGAAACCACUCUCCUCGACAGGGAAACACCCAAGGAAUGGGUAAUGUACUUUGAUGGUGCCUUCUCACUCCAGGGUGCCGGGUAGGUGUGCUCCUCAUCGUCCCCACCAGAUAAUACCUCAAGUACGUGGUCUAAAUGCACUUUCCCCGGGAAGAAGCUGCCAACAACACCGCUAAGUAUGGAGGGCUCCUCGCGGGACUCAGAAUUUUGAUGGAGUUGGGGAUCAAGAAGAUGAUCAUUAGAGGGGACUCUCGGCUUGUGGUGAAGCAGGUCAAUAAGGAUUAUUAGAGCCCGCUGAUGGAGGCAUACGUAGAGAAAGUGAGGAAGUUGGAGGAACAUUUUGAUGGGCUACAGGUAGAACAUGUGCCACACGUAGAAAACAACAUUGCCGAUCACGUGUCGAAGUGUGUCGCGUAGAAGCUUCCUGUGGAACCACGGGUUUUUGUCCCUCACCUCUUUCAACCCUCUGUGUACCCCUCAACAGUGAUCAAGAAGAGAACAAAACCAAACUCCGGCAAGCAUUUCCCGGCAGUGCUUCCUGAAGCCCCCGGUAGAGAAGCUGUCGGAGGCGGUUCCGUUUCACCUGGUGAGCUUCUCCCUCCCGCGGAACCCCAGGUCCUCGCGGUAGACGCAAGCACUCCCACGAACGCGAAGAUGCCUUUAGUCCUGCCGUCGAUCCACAGGCUCCAGCUUGGGCACAACACAUCGUCCAAUUCCUUUAGACAUGAACUUCCCAAAGAACAAGAAGAGGCCGAUAGAGUAGCCCGCCGAUCUAGUAUGUACCGAUUUUUUGACGACACUCUAUACAGAAGAAGACCCAAUGGUAUGAAAUUGAGGUGCAUCUGUCUGGAAGGGCUAAGGCUGUUGGUGGAGAUUCACGGAGGCAUAUGUGGGUCACACAUAGGAUCAAGGACCCUUGCCGGGAAAGCUUUCCACCAGGGUUUCUAUUGGCCCACAACCCACCAAGAUGCGACUGAGCUAGUCAUCGAAUGUGAAGCCUACCAAUUCCAUGCCAAGAAUGUACAUUAGGUAGCGCAAGCCCUCCAGACGAUCCCUCUAUCCUUGCCACGCUGUCGGGGGUUUCGAGUUCUUGUACGUAGCAAUCGACAAGUUCACGAAAUGGCCUGAGGUAGAGCCAGUGAGAAAGGAGACCGCGCAAUCAGCUAUCAAGUUCAUGAAGGGAAGGUGUGCCGCUUUAGAGUACCCAAGAGAGUAAUCACUGACAAUGACACCCAAUUCACGAGCCAGACAUACAUGUAGUACGUCCAAAGCCUUGGGAGCAAGGUCUCCUUCGCCUCUAUUGCACACCCAAGGAGGAACGGACAAGUCGAGAGGAUGAAUGCUGAAGUGCUGCGAGGGCUCAAAACGAGAACUUUUGAUAGACUGUAGAGAUGCGACAAGCGCUGGAUUGAUGAGCUACAAGUGGUUCUUUGGUCCCUGAGAACAACACCAAAUCGAGCUACCGGCCAGACACCUUUCUCCCUAGUAUAUGGGGCAGAAGCAGUUAUCCCCACUGAACUCAUAUAUGGGUCACCUCGAGUGCUUUCCGACGAUGAAAUGGAGCAACCGCAGCUACGGCAUGAUGAUGCCACUCUCCUCGAGGUAGAUCGUCUUCGGGGUGCUAUGUGUGUUGCACGCUACCAGCAGGCCCUGCGCUGCUAUCAUAGCCGCAGGGUCCAUGCCCGGAGCUUUGAGGAAGGCGACCUUGUCCUUCGGCGUGCUAAGUCCGCCAAGGGUUCCAACAAGUUGACACCGAAGUGGUGUAGGAUUGAAAGUAUGUCUAGAGGGGGGUGAUUAGACUACUUGACAAGAUAAUUUUUUGUCUUUUCCCAAUUUUAGUUGAGAGGCAGCUUUGGCAGUUAUAGCAAGUCAAGUACACCUUACACAUGCAGUUCUAAGAGUAUAGCAGUAGAAAGUAAAACAUGCAAGUUAAAGUAAAGGAGUAAGGUAGGGAGAUCAAAUGCAUGAGGUUGAAACGGCGAUUUUUGGCAUGGUUCUGAUAGGUGGUGCUAUCGUACGUCCAUGUUAGUUGAGACUUCAACCCACGGAGAGUAACGGCUGCGAGAGUCCACGGAGGGAUACACACACAAGGGGUCCACGAAGAAGCGGCCUUGUCUAUUCCACCACGGCUUCCACCCACGAAGGACUAGCUUUACUCACGGUAGAUCUUCACAAAGUAGGUGAUCUCCUUGCCAUUACAAACAUCUUUGUUCAACUCCACAACAUGAAGUACGAGGCUCCCAAGCGACACCUAACCAAUCUAGGAGGCACCACCCUCCAAAAGGUAAUAGAUGGGGGUAGAUCAAUGAACUCCUUGCUCUUGUGCUUCUAAAGAUAGUCUCCUCAACAGUAAAUCACUCUCUCAGAGAAUAUGCAUGGCGAGGAGAGAUUAAUUUGAUGGAAAGCAGUUUGGGGAGGCUAGAGAUCAAGUUCCAAAUGAUUGAAUUGGAAUAUCUUGGUCUCAACACAUGAGUAGGUGGUUGAAUCUUAGAAAAUGGAUCUCGCAAUGAAGUGUGUGUUCUGAGUGCUUCUCCCACAAGUGAGAGGUGGGUGAAGGGGUAUAUAUAGGCAGCACACAAAAUCCAACCGUUACACCUAAAGUGGCAAACUUGGUGACACCGAAGUUACAAACUCGGUGGUACUGAUUAGCAUAAAAGGUCGAACUUUUCAAUCUCGGUGGGACCGAUAUAUACAACUCGGUGGCACCGAAACAAUGGCUAACGGUCAGACACCCAAACUCGGUGGCACCGGUACUCAAACCCAGAAAUUCUGAUUUUAUGUAUAUUGGCGAGAAAAUGUUGGUCACCCUGAACUCGGUAGCACCGAUAUGGAUUCGGUUGCACCAAUUUGGUAGGAAUGCAUAGGGUUUCUGUCUGAGGUCAAACUCGGUGGGUCCAAAAUGUGGAAGUUGGUGACAUCGAAUUUGAGUAUGUGGAAUUUGACAAAAUGGAUAUGUGGGAAAAUGACUGAGUAUUUUGGUGGCUAACUUUGAGCACUUUGAGCAAUCAGUUCAUUUUACUACCUCACCCCCUUUUAAUAGUAUUGGCUUUCCUAUGGACUCAAAAGUGAUUUCUCACAAAUAUAAAAUGAGGAGUCUUCUAGCUUGAAUCGUGAGCCAAUAUUAUUCCUUUCUUGCAUCAAGGGGCAUUUCCACAUAAGCCUUUAGCCAUAGCAUCUUUUGAACUUUUCCGAAAUACUUUGAAAACAUAGUAUUCCAAUGCAUAUGUUGUGAUCAAUUAUCAAAACUACCCUAGGGAGCAAUUGUGCUUUCAAUCUCCCCCUUUUUGGAAUUUGAUGACAACAUAUAGAUCAAAGCUUCGACAAAAGAUAUAAUCAAUGAUUAGCAUCGACACAUUGAGAAGUAUGUGAAAAGCAAGAGCUCCCCCUAAAUUUGUGCAUUAUUUAAAAUUUGCGUUUGAAUGCAAAUGCACAAUCGAUUAGGAUCCUGGGUUACUCUUUCAUGUCACAUACAUCUUGGUGGUGCGCAUACAAGAUAAGAAUGAAUAGCAAUGCACAUGACACCAACAAGAUAAGUGGAUGAUCAUCACAUAGAUAGCUAAAAGGACAAUAUCGUAGCAUCAACCAGGUAAAGCGUAUGAUCAAACAUAGGUAACAAGAUAAAGUCAUCCAAAACACCAAAGUUUUUGAAACCAAAUGAGAGCAAAUAAAUUCAAACGCUCUCUCUCAGUCUAUGAUCUAUACAUCUCUCCCCCUUUGGAAACAAGUUACCAAAAAGUUCAAAAAGUAUAGAACUACUCGUCUCUCUGGGCGGCUGAUCACGGAGUCGACAAAAGAGCAUCCACGAAGGCAUCUAUUGAGUGUCCUGUAGCUGGAGGAGUGGAUACUGGAGGUGCUUGAGCUGGAGCUGGUGCUGACAGUGCUGAUGCUUGAGCUGAAGAUGUUUGUCUUGUCUCAUGAGCAGGAACAACAGUUGAUCUAAGAUGAGUGUUGAACCGUGUGGUGGUGGGAGGAGGUACUCUUCUUCAUCAUCUGAGCGCGGGAUCCCCACUGAGUCAACUUCAUGUUGAAGCUGUUUGACAAUGGUGGUCAACUUAGUAACCUUCACAUCCAUGUCAUGGAACUUAGUUUCCACGACCCUCUCAAGGCUUUUCUGGCUUUGCAGUAUCUCCUGAUUGUUGUUCUCCAUGCCUUGGACAGAGCUAGCUAGAAAUGUCAUCUUCUCAGCUUGAGUUUUGAGCUGUGGAACUGGCGGUGGCUCAUUUCUAGCAGCUUCAUCAUCUCCUGCCUGUGCUGCCAUCCUUGCUGCAGCUGAGCUGGGAUCAUUGUCAUCCAUCACCACUUCAUUGUCUUAAAAUUCUAGGUGAAGAGGCAAAUGGGGACGAUCAAGUAUAUAUGCAUGCUUUCUUAGCUUGGCAUUGAUAAGCAUCUGAAUGUAAGGGGCAUAUUCACACGAUCUUUUCUGAUCAGUAGCAGUCCUCCGGAUAGUCUCUACUAUCAAAUCCAUCACUCUGAAUCUAGUGUGAGAGUCCAAAUGGUGCAACAGAUUGAUGGAGUGUCCUCGAAUCAUCCUAUCAUCACCUGAUUUAGGCAUCAAGAUGUGUCUCAGAAUAGUGUUAGUGGUGGGUAUCCCUGCUUGCAAAAAGUACACUAAGCCCAUCUUGUGACUAGCCAAAUACUUGUGAGGAAUUGGCUUGUACAUAUUUUUCAUGGUUUUGUGGCUCAUCUUCUCUUCAGAAUACACAUCCACAUCACUCUCUUUCUACUUGGGGGGCACCAAUGAUAGUGGCCCACUCAUCAAUCGCAGAUUCAUAUUUGUGACCAUCGGUCAUCCAUACCAAAGAACCAUCUCCAUAGAAAUGAACAGUUGAGUAAAAUUGCAUGAUUAGCUCAUCAUUCCAUGGGGUCAUCUCUUUACCAACAAAGUAUUCAAUGUCCACUAGCCUGAGAUUUUCUUGGACACGGGGAAAGUAAUUCUCAUUCUCCUUGAUAUAUUCCCAGUCAACAUACCUCAUAUCACUGACAGCUAGACUCUUGUCAAACAAGAGAGUCUCAUAAAAUCUUGUUGUUCCUUGGUGUGAAACCUUGGAUCAACAACAAUUCUUCUUCUGGCAGCAUAUGGGUCAACAACUCUCCACUUGCUCAAUCCGGCAUCCUUCCUCUUCCUCACAUCCUCUGCUACUAGGUGAGCAACAUUGUGAAUUGACAGGGUUGGUCCGAGCUUCCUGAGAACUGGUGCAUUCUCGUCUUCUACCUCCUUUAUAGCAGGGCCACUGGAUGCACGGUCUUUCUCCUUGGCAGUUGCAGGAAUAUCCUUUGUAGUCUUCCUUCGAGGUACAACCUUCUUUGCCUUGGCAGGAGGCUUAGGAGUAGAUUUCAUGGCAUCGGCCAUAAGCUUCUUCUUAGGAGGAGGAGCUGGGAUCUCAUCUUCACUAGCAUAUUCUUCAGGGUCUUCAUACAUGGAAGUCCUUCUCCCAACAAGAUAAACUAUCUAUUUCCCGGGCCUCUUCACACCAGCCUUCUUGGCAAGUUUGUCAGUGGAAAGUGAUGUGCUCUACCUUGCAGAUUCAGGUGCUCUUAGAUAAGCAGGCUUAGCGUACUCUUUCCUCACAGUCUUCCUUGGAUCCUUAAGAGGGGCUGAAAUUUCCUCCGGCACAAAGUCCGAGUCUUCUUGAUCGGAAUUCAGUUUCUUCCUCUGCCUGGUGGCUGCCUUGGGCAAGCCAUGGGAGCUGUAGGAUCCAAGGUCAGAGUCAGACUUCUUUGGACUAGUGCGUGAGUCCAUCUCAACAAUGGGCUCUAUGAAAUCAUUCUGGAUAUCAUCUGAUUUAGACAUCUUGGCACACAGACAAAAACUCAGAACCAAACAACAAAACCUGUGAAUUAGAUAUAGGAAAGACAGAAGGGUUGAGCAUCACAAAAUUGAGAUGUUUUUGGAAAAAAUGAAUAAAGAAAUCCUUAGUUUUAGCUUUCUGCAGAUCACAUUUUGGUGUCAUCGAGUUUGAAUUUUCGUAAUCACUGAGACAGAUGAACUCCUUAACAUAAACUUGGUCAUCACUUUCGGUGGCACUGAAAGUGACAACUCGGUCUCACCGAGUCCAUUCUCAGUAACCCUAGAUUCCAAAUCGGUCUGACCGAGUUUUGCAACUUGGAGGCACCGAGAUGGGUUCUGCGGACGGCUAACCGUAAAAACUUCCUCGUUCUCUAAUCUAUAGGAGCAUCUGGUGGAUGGAGAGAUUACACAUUGUGUCUUGUGGAUAAAACUUCUAAUGCACACGAGAUUGAUUGGGGAGGCGCAAAUGAAAGGGGCAAAUCCAUACCCUAAGUCAGCGACGGUCCGACUAUGGCGGCGAUGAUGGUGAAGAAUCCAUCGGCGACGGCGAUUCCCAGUGGCGGAGACGCACGGGGAGUCAAGGGCGAUGACCAGGGGUCCAGGGGGCAACGUAAGGUUUGAGACAAAACGACUUUGACAAACUGAAAUCAAAGAUUCGGUCCUUUGAAAUAUAUACCCUUUUGGUGUCGGUGUCACUGAGAUUACGAAAUCAGUGUCACCGAGUUCCCGUGCUAUUAGUUGAUAGGGAAACUUGGUGUAACCGAGUUUGUGACUUCGGUGGUACCGAGAUGGAAAAACCAGAUCAGCUUUGGAAAUUCGGUGGAACAGAUUUUGUGAAGGUGGUCUCACCGAAAUUUUCAAAGAGGUUUUGGAUGUCAGCCUUUGAAGAUACGGAACUCCGAGUGCACCUUCACACAGAGGGAUCGACAAGUGCUUGUUCAAGUUUUGUGAUGAAGCAUGAAUAGAACUUGAGAUGAGAUAACAUAGAUAGCUAGAGAAGAGUCCUAGGCAAUCUUGCCCAUCCAAUUGGCAAAAGAUAAAUAAAGAUCCAAAUAACAACAAUUGAAUGUCCUUGAAUGAGCAAACACAUGCAGACCAACAUGCUCACACAAUAAGAAUAGUAGAGAAAGUAUGGUGAACAUGCACAAACAUCCUAGCAGCUAUCAAGCACUUGGGUGAUGACAAAGUCAUCUAUAUAUUUCGUAUAUUGGCUUAGAAGGCAAGUAAGAUUACUUGAUCAUAGGUCAUACUCAUCGUUAAGCACAAGUGGGGUUACCACUUUUACAUAAGCAUUAAUGUGUUCAUAUCCUUAGGAGAUGCUUAUACUCAAGAUUUAGAGUAGAGCUCCCCCUUGAUAUGACAUCCCCCCUAAGAGGGAUCAACUAACCUUGGGUUUUGUUGUAGAAGACUUCAAGUAGGUGAAGUAGUGAUGAAUGCUCAAUGUUGAUGAAGAUCAUCUUGAGUUGGGAGCCAUUCUUGUUGUUUCUUACUCUUCUCACCUACAUGGUUUAGUCCCAAAGCAAGAUGAACAUAUGCAAGAAUAACUAUGGACAUGGAGUGAAACACAUAUGGGAUGAUGUCUAGAGAUGCAUUAAUUACCUUGUCCCUUGCUUACCAUUGAGGGAUUGUGUGACUCCUCGAGCUCAUGCAUAUGGUUGAGGUUGAUUGCAUAUAGUUCUUGCCAAAAUGAAUAAGAGUGAAUUUCAUUGGCGGAGUCACCCCUCAAGAACUUCCUAGUUCUUCCUCUUGGGGAUCCACAUCAAAUUGAUGGGAAUCCUUGGAGUUGUGGUAGCACUUGUUGAGGUAUAGCUAGUAGUGUCUUCGGGAACCCACUUGACCUUGGCUUGGGGUUCUUCUUUAAAUAGGUUAAUGUAAUCUUGAAGCUUUCCCUUGCCUUUGUGGUCUUGUGGUAGAAGGCCAUCUUGUGAGCUUCUUCCUUCGGGAGGAGUAGGAUCACACUUCUCUUCUUGGGGAACAAACUUAGGAAUGGGGUAUAGACCUGCUUCCCAAUCAUCUCCAUUGAUGUUGAAGUAGCCAACACCUUGCUUCUUCCGAUGUCCUCCUUGCUUGCGCACAAUUUCCUCAAAUUGUUUACUUCUAACAAGAUUCUUGAAGGCACCUCCCUAUAUAAUCCCUUUCAAUAGAUCGUUUUCUUGCUCAAGUGUAGCUUGGUUAAGAGAAUCAUUAAUGGAUUCAAUAGAGCUACUAGCAACAACAUUAUUGGAUUUAGCUUUAGCAUUGUUAUUACUAGAUGAAGAAACUUUCUUGCCUUUGUUACUAGUGUUCUUAGGUUUAACUUGUUGAACAAAAUUAUACAAGAGUAAUCAUUUGGCUAGAUAAGAAGAACUCUUGUUUCGAAGAUCGUCAUUGAUCGCUUUUAAGAACUCAUUCUCUUGCUCCAAGUUGAGAUUCUCGAAGCGUAGCUUCUCAUGGGUUCUUGCAAGAUCUCUAUGAUCUUCUAGAGUAGUCUCAUGAGCUAUCUUAAGAGUUUUUAAUUCUUGAGUUAGUCAUUCAAUUUCUUUCUUAUCAUCAUCACCUGAUUUCUCUUGACUAGCAUGAUAAUUAGCAAGUUAAUUUUCAUUGCAAUCAGUAGUUUUAUCAAAGAGCAAGUCAUAUUCUCCUAACAAGUCAUCCUCGUCACUAUUGAAAUCAAGAUACUUGGGGUGUGAUACCUUGGGUACUUUAGCCAUGAAGCAGUUUCCGAACCCGUCAUUUGGUGAGUCAAAUAGGUCGUAGGAGUUGGAGGAGAAAAGUGCAAUGCCAGCAACACCUUCAUCUUGACUAUAGUCGGAGUUGGAGCGAUAGCUUCUCUCGGAAUGGUGAUCAGACUCGAGUCAGUAACCCAUUCAUCAACAUGAGCUUGAUGUAUUCUUCUUGAGCUGCUCUUGGUGUAUUUGUCCUUCUUUUCCGAUUCUUUGCCUCUCCGUGAGUGUCUUCGUUCAUAGUGAUGCUCUCUACUCCUUCUCUCUCUACGAGGUGACUCAUCUCUUGAGCUUCGUCUUCGAGGUGACUCUUCUCUUCGUUUGUAGGGAGCUGAGAAUUCGUUGGAGUAGUGUCCGGGCUUCCCACAAUUGUAGCAGUAUCGAUCACAACUGGACGAAUGCUUCUCAUCAUGUCUUGAGCUUGAACUUCUCUCUUUGCCUCUACUCUUGUAUAACUUGUUGAAUUUUCUGACCAUGAGUCUUAUCUCUUCAUCAGUGACAAGAUUGUCCUUCGAAGUAAGGGGAGCAUCACAUGAAGCAUUGUAAGCACCGCUUGACUUGUUGUGCAGCUCAUCUUUGUCCUUGAGUGACAUCUCAUGAGCAACAAUCCUACCAAUGACUUCAGUUGGCUUGAGAUCUUUGUAGUUUGGCAUCAUUUGGAUCAAUGUGCACACUGUGUCAUACUUUCCAUCAAGAGCUCUAAGUAUCUUCUUGAUAAUGAAUUUGUUAGUCAUCUCUUCGCUUCCUAAGCCGGCAAUCUCAUUGGUGAUGAGAGCUAGCCUAGAGUACAUUUCAGCGAGAACUUCACCAUCCUUCAUCUUGAACUUGUCAAGCUAGCUUUGAAGCACAUCCAACUUAGAUUCUCUGACGGAAUCAGUACCUUCGUUCAUAUCAACCAAAGUAUCCAAAAUUUCUGUUGCAUUCUCAAGACGACUAACUUUGUUGAAUUCUUCGGGGCAUAGACAGUUGAAGAUGAUGUCGCAGGCUUGAGCAUUAAGUUGCAACAUCUUUAGUUCAUCAGUUGUCGCAUCACGAUCAGGUUCUUGUCCUUCACCAAAGAAGUUACCUUGCACACCAACACGAAUAACAACCCAAACACGGGGAUUAAAGCCAAUAAUAUGCAUUUUCAUCUUAUGCUUCCAACUAGCAAAAUUAGUGCCAUCAAAAUAUGGACCUCUACGGUGAUAAUUUUCCUCACUAGAUGCCAUACUCUCCUAGGUUGUGAAACCAAUGCAAUAGAGACCAAAGAUCUCAUAUCACUUGUAGGACCAGAAGUAUGUCUAUGGGGGGGGGGGUGAUUAGACUACUUGACAAGAUAUUUUUUGCCUUUACCCAAUUUUAGUUGAGAGACAACUUUUACAGUUAUAUCAAGUCAAGUACACCCUACACAUGCAGUUCUAACAGUAUAGCAGCGGAAAGUAAAACAUGCAAGUGGAAAGUAAAGGAGUAAGGUAGGGAGAUCAAACGCAUGAGGUUGACACGAUGAUUUUUGGCAAGGUUACGAUAGGUGAUUCUAUCAUACAUCCAUGUUAGUGGAGACUUCAACUGACGGAGGGUAACGACUGCGAGAGUCCACGGAGGGCUCCACCAACAAGGGGUCCACAAAGAAGAGGCCUUGUCUAUUCCACCAUGGCUUCCGCCCACGAGGGACUAACCUUACUCAUGGUAGAUCUUCACGAAGUAGGCGAUCUCCUUUCCCUUACAAACAUCUUAGUUCAACUCCACAACACGAAGUAGGAGGCUCCCAAGCGACACCUAACCAAUCUAGGAGGCACCACCCUUCAAAAGGUAAUAGAUGGGGUAGAUCAAUUAACUCCUUGCUCUUGUGCUUCUAAAGAUAGUCUCCUCAACACUAAAUCAUUCUCUCACAGAAUAUGCAUGGGGAGGAGAGAUUGAUUAGAUGGAAAUCAGUUUGGGGAGGCUACAAAUCAAGUUUCAAAUGAUUGGAUUGGAAUAUCUUGGUAUCAACACAUGUGUAGGUGGUUCUCUCUCAGAAAAUGGAUUUGGCAAUGAAGUGUGUGUUCUGAGUGCUUCUCCAACAAGUGAGAGGUGGUGAAGGGGUAUAUAUAGGCAGCGCAAAAAAUCCAACCGUUACACCUAAAGUGGCAAACUCGGUGACACCAAAGUUACAAACUCGGUGGUAUGAUUAGCACAAAAGGCAGAGCUUUUGAAUCUCGGUGGGACCGAUAUAGACAACUCGGUGGCACCGAAACGGUGGCUAACGCUCAAACGCGCAAACUCGGUGGCACCGAUACUCAAACUCGGAAAUUCCAAUUUUGUGUAUCUUGGCAACAGAAUGUUGGUCACCCUGAACUCGGUAGCACCGAUAUGGAUUCGGUUGCACCGAUUUGGUGGGAAUGGCUAGGGUUUCUGUCCGAGGUCAAACUCGGUGGGUCCAAAAUGUGGGAGCUGGUGACACCGAAUUUGAGUAUGUGGAAUUUGACAAAAUGGAUAUAUGGGAAAAUGUUUCAGUGUUUUGGUGGCUAACUUUGAGCAUUUUGAGCAAUCAGUUCAUUUUACUACAUCACCCCCUUUUAAUAGUAUUGGCUUCCCUAUGGACUGAAAAGUGAUUUCUCACAAAUAUAAAAUGAAGAGUCUGAUAGCUUGAAGCUUGAGCCAAUAUUAUUCCUUUCUUGCAUCAAGGGGCAUUUACACAUAAACCUUUAGCCAUAGCAUCUUUUGAACUUUUUUGAAAUAUACUUGGAGAUAACCCUUGUUAUCUUUGCUUUGAGUUUUUACUUUCAGUUUUAGUGGUCUUGAUGCUUGUUACUACUGUAGCAACAUCAUUGUAUCUUUAUUUUUAAGCUUUGUGCCAAGUUAUAGCCUCCGAUUGCAAGAAAGUUCAAAAAUUGUGACAUGCUGUCGAGAAACAGAUUCUGUCUGCUUGAUGAAACAAUUUGCCAAAAAUCACUAGAUCAUCUUUUUGAUCUAAAUUGUUUUGACAACAUGAUCUGUAUAACUGCCUUUAUGGCAUCUGUUUUGAGUUUUUUUGAUUUGAGUUGCAGAAGUGCACCGAAUUAAUUAUUUACUACCUGCUGUUAUGUUUUUCACACAUUUUGCAACGUUUUGCGUUUUCAUCAUUUUGCAGAUCUUAAGCUUGCUUUUGCUUUGCACAAACCUUUUGGCAAUCAUGAAAAAUAGUAGCGUUUCAUGAAAAUCAUUAUUUUCCAGUAGGUAAUGAAUUAUUUUAUUAAGGGUACUAACCACUCUAAUCAGCUUAUGAUGAGUUUCGUAUGAAGGGAGUUUUCAAGUAUGCGAUGGGAGAUGAUGAAAGAAGAUACAUGAGUGUCAAGCGCUCAAGCUUGGGGAUGCCCCCAUGCACCCCAAGAAAUAUUCAAGGAGACUCAAGCAUCUAAGCUUGGGGAUGCCCCCGUGCAUCCCCUUCUCUAUCAACAAUCAUCAGUUCGUCCAUCUCCAUGCUAUAUUUUUAUCACUUUAUAUGUUAUGUGC
rnacentral:lncRNA from 1 species